rnacentral:rRNA from 1 species
AUACGUAGGUGACAAGCGUUAUCCGGAUUUACUGGGCGUAAAGGGCGUGUAGGCGGUCUUGCAAGUCAGAAGUGAAAUUCCUGAGCUCAACUCGGGCGCUGCUUCUGAAACUGCAGGACUUGAGUGCUGGAGGGGAUAGCGGAAUUCCUAGUGGAGCGGUAAAAUGCGCAGAUAUUAGGAAGAACACCGGUGGCGAAGGCGGCUCUCUGGCCAGUAACUGACGCUGAGGCGCGAAAGCGUGGGGAGCAAACAGGAUUAGAUACCCUGGUAUUCCACGCCGUAAACGAUGAAUACUAGGUGUAGGGGGUAUCGACUCCCUCUGUGCCGCAGUUAACACAAUAAGUAUUCCGCCUGGGGAGUACGGCCGCAAGGUUGAAACUCAAAUGAAUUGGCGGGG